AGUCAAUAGAUACCCAGGUAGUCCACGCCCUAAACGAUGCAUAUUUGGUGUGGGUCAUUCAGUUGAUCCGUGCCGGAGCUAACGCGUUAAAUAUGCCGCCUGGGGAGUACAGUCGCAAGGCUGAAACUCAAAGGAAUUGACGGGGGCCCGCACAAGCGGUGGAGCAUGUGGUUCAAUUCGACGCAACGCGAAGAACCUUACCUGGGCUCGAACGGGUAGUCAACGGCGGUGGAAACAUCGCUACCCCGCAAGGGGGUCUAUUCGAGGUGCUGCAUGGCUGUCGUCAGCUCGUGUCGUGAGAUGUUGGGUUAAGUCCCGCAACGAGCGCAACCCUUGUCCUGUGUUGCCAUCAUUCAGUUGGGAACUCGCAGGAGACCGCCAGCGAUAAGUUGGAGGAAGGUGGGGAUGACGUCAAGUCCUCAUGGCCCUUAUGUCCAGGGCUACACACGUGCUACAAUGGACGGUACAAAGCGCAGCAAAACCCGCGAGGGGGAGCCAAUCGCAAAAAAACCGUCUCAGUUC
rnacentral:rRNA from 1 species